rnacentral:lncRNA from 1 species
GGUGAUUCAGACAGCAGAAAGGGACUCAGAGUUCCUGGUCCAGUUCUCUGGGCAGUGGUUUUGGUUGCUUGGAAAGGUGACUUGCUGUGCUUCGUAAUCCAGCACAGGUGAGGGAUCGUAGCUCAGCUCUGCCCCAGCUGCUUCCCAUUUCACACAGGGCUGAUUUAGCUCCACCCAAUCCAGCAGGUAUUUUUCUGUGGCAAUAAAAUUUCACUGGGUGCCUAUAAAGAGUCUUUGGAGAUGCUGCACAAAGCUGAAGAUGGUACUGCUUGUUGGUGAGAAUAAUUGUUCUGUAGAUAGCACGUGUUGCCAUAGCUUUUAUUAUCAUUUUUCACCAGUCCCUUUGCCGUUGCUGGCAGUCAAGGAGGCAACAUUGUGGCAGGUCUGUGAACAGGAAAAAGAGAAGCCUGAACUUGUAACAACUUGAAUAUUGAAUGGAGUGUUGCUAAUAUUGGCAAAACAAAAGAAAGCUGCUUUACUGUGGAUGUUUUAGCAGUUAUCCUGAUGCUGUGAGGUAAGUGGAGGAUUUGGGGACCUUGGGUUUAGUCCCACCUGCUGCGGGAGCUGAACUGAACCAGAACACCUCUCUGUAUUGCUUCCUCUUUCUAUGCCUUGUCUGCUGAUGGUGUGACAGAUGUCAUGUGUGGGGCCCCAAGCUCCAGCUAGACUCCCAGUACUUUUGUAGGAGGUUUGCUUUAAUACUUCAGUAAGGCGCUGACUGGGUGCAGUGGAGUUAUUCCGUGUCACUUCUGACAAGCAGCUGACAAAUCAGAUCAGGGGUGGCUGAAUAUCUCCGUGUAUGAGCCACGUG